rnacentral:rRNA from 1 species
UACGUAGGGUGCGAGCGUUGUCCGGAAUUAUUGGGCGUAAAGGGCUCGUAGGCGGUUUGUCGCGUCGGGAGUGAAAUCCACUGGCUUAACUGGUGGCUUGCUUUCGAUACGGGCAGACUGGAGGUAUGCAGGGAGAACGGAAUUCCUGGUGUAGGCGGUAGAAAUGCGCAGAUAUCAGGAGGAACACCGGUGGCGAAGGCGGUUCUCUGGGCAUGUCCUGACGCUGAGGAGCGAAAGCAUGGGGAGCGAACAGG